rnacentral:rRNA from 1 species
GAUGAACGCUGGCGGCGUGCCUAAUACAUGCAAGUCGAGCGAACGGACGAGAAGCUUGCUUCUCUGAUGUUAGCGGCGGACGGGUGAGUAACACGUGGAUAACCUACCUAUAAGACUGGGAUAACUUCGGGAAACCGGAGCUAAUACCGGAUAAUAUUUUGAACCGCAUGGUUCAAAAGUGAAAGACGGUCUUGCUGUCACUUAUAGAUGGACCUGCGCUGCAUUAGCUAGUUGGUAAGGUAACGGCUUACCAAGGCAACGAUGCAUAGCCGACCUGAGAGGGUGAUCGGCCACACUGGAACUGAGACACGGUCCAGACUCCUACGGGAGGCAGCAGUAGGGAAUCUUCCGCAAUGGGCGAAAGCCUGACGGAGCAACGCCGCGUGAGUGAUGAAGGUCUUCGGAUCGUAAAACUCUGUUAUUAGGGAAGAACAUAUGUGUAAGUAACUGUGCACAUCUUGACGGUACCUAAUCAGAAAGCCACGGCUAACUACGUGCCAGCAGCCGCGGUAAUACGUAGGUGGCAAGCGUUAUCGGAAAUUAUUGGCGUAAAGCGCGCGUAGCGGUUUUUUAGUCUGAUGUGAAAGCCCACGGCUCAACCGUGGAGGGUCAUUGGAAACUGGAAAACUUGAGUGCAGAAGAGGAAAGUGGAAUUCCAUGUGUAGCGGUGAAAUGCGCAGAGAUAUGGAGGAACACCAGUGGCGAAGGCGACUUUCUGGUCUGUAACUGACGCUGAUGUGCGAAAGCGUGGGGAUCAAACAGGAUUAGAUACCCUGGUAGUCCACGCCGUAAACGAUGAGUGCUAAGUGUUAGGGGGUUUCCGCCCCUUAGUGCUGCAGCUAACGCAUUAAGCACUCCGCCUGGGGAGUACGACCGCAAGGUUGAAACUCAAAGGAAUUGACGGGGACCCGCACAAGCGGUGGAGCAUGUGGUUUAAUUCGAAGCAACGCGAAGAACCUUACCAAAUCUUGACAUCCUUUGACAACUCUAGAGAUAGAGCUUUCCCCUUCGGGGGACAAAGUGACAGGUGGUGCAUGGUUAUCGUCAGCUCGUGUCGUGAGAUGUUGGGUUAAGUCCCGCAACGAGCGCAACCCUUAAGCUUAGUUGCCAUCAUUAAGUUGGGCACUCUAAGUUGACUGCCGGUGACAAACCGGAGGAAGGUGGGGAUGACGUCAAAUCAUCAUGCCCCUUAUGAUUUGGGCUACACACGUGCUACAAUGGACAAUACAAAGGGCAGCGAAACCGCGAGGUCAAGCAAAUCCCAUAAAGUUGUUCUCAGUUCGGAUUGUAGUCUGCAACUCGACUACAUGAAGCUGGAAUCGCUAGUAAUCGUAGAUCAGCAUGCUACGGUGAAUACGUUCCCGGGUCU